rnacentral:rRNA from 1 species
CCUACGGGUGGCUGCAGUAACGAAUCUUCCACAAUGCACGCAAGUGUGAUGGAGCGACGCCGCGUGUGGGACGAAGUCCUUCGGGAUGUAAACCACUGUCAGGGGAUAGAAAGUUCUGAUCAUCCCCAGAGGAAGAGACGGCUAACUCUGUGCCAGCAGCCGCGGUAAGACAGAGGUCUCAAGCGUUAGGCGGAAUCACUGGGCUUAAAGCGUGUGUAGGCGGAAUUGUAAGUACCUUGUGAAAUCCCACGGCUCAACCGUGGAACUGCUUGGUAUACUGCUUUUCUUGAGCCAAUUAGGGGCAGCUGGAACUAACGGUGGAGCGGUGAAAUGCGUAGAUAUCGUUUGGAACGCCAAUGGUGAAAACAGGCUGCUGGGAUUGUGCUGACGCUGAGACACGAAAGCCAGGGGAUCAAACGGGAUUAGAUACCCCGGUAGUC